rnacentral:lncRNA from 1 species
GGAGGACAGUUCAAUCACUUCUCCGCCAGUGCCGGCUCGAGCAGGGCAACACAACCACGUGCGGGCGCCCAGACGCUCGUUCCGGAAGAGAAAGCUUCGCUUCCGGAGCGCCCGGAACUGGCUCACAAUCCGGGCGGCCCGAGAAGAGGCCGGCAGAGGGCGGUGUUGGAGAGCAGAUGGGAUUAGAGGCGGCCCUUGCGAACGCGCCCGGAGGUGUUUUUACUUGCCAAAGGAAGACAGCAAAGGAAAGAACCUCUUAGUGGCAAGUAGGUGUGUCGCUGUGUUCUUGUCAGCAUCCCAGGGUCUCCAAGGGACAGCACCGCAGUCUCGUCUAGCUCCCUGAGCCACUUGCUCCCAGGUCAGCCAUAUGUGUAAACUGUGUGCUGCAGCUUUCUACCAAGCCUCGGUGACAGCAUCUCAUGCUAUUUGCAGCCUUGAAAAUGGACACAUGGUUACAAACCUCAGGUCUGAGUCCAUUUCAGAGAUGCUGUGGACCAGUGACCUCAGACUCGGGCUCUCUCAUAAUCUUGACUGUACUGAAGAUGUUCAGCAUAGUAGUGAGAACUGGAGGUUAAGGGUAAGGAAGCGAAUGGAACUGCUGCCACAUCCCUGGAGGAAAUCACCCCUCUGCCAAAGAGGUAUUCAUCACUCUCUCAGCCAUCAAGGGAGGAGGCCAGGAGAGCAACUCGACCUUAGUCUCUUCUGUAACGCUUUGAAGAGGAAUUAA